rnacentral:rRNA from 1 species
CCUACGGGCGGCUGCAGUGAGGAAUAUUGGUCAAUGGACGCAAGUCUGAACCAGCCAUGCCGCGUGCAGGAAGACGGCUCUAUGAGUUGUAAACUGCUUUUGUACGAGGGUAAACGCAGAUGCGCGUAUCUGUCUGAAAGUAUCGUACGAGUAAGGAUCGGCUAACUCCGUGCCAGCCGCCGCGGUACUACGGAGGAUUCAAGCGUUAUCCGGAUUUAUUGGGUUUAAAGGGUGCGUAGGCGGUCGGAUAAGUUAGAGGUGAAAUCCCGGGGCUCAACUUCGGAAUUGCCUCUGAUACUGUUCGGCUAGAGAGUAGUUGCGGUAGGUGGAAUGUAUGGUGUAGCGGUGAAAUGCUUAGAGAUCAUACUGAACACCGAUUGCGAAGGCAGCUUACCAAGCUACUUCUGACGUUGAGGCACGAAAGCGUGGGGAGCAAACAGGAUUAGAUACCCGGGUAGUC